rnacentral:rRNA from 1 species
UAACAACAGAUGAUGCCUAUCAACUGUUUUAAAAGAAUGGUUCUGCUAUCACUCUUGGGAUGGACCUGCGGUGCAUUAGCUAGUUGGGUAGGGGUAACGGGGCCUACCAAGGCGAUGAUGCAUAGCCCGAGUUGAGAGACUGAUCGGGCCACAUUGGAACUGAGACACGGGCCCAAACUCCUACGGGAGGCAGCAGUAGGGGAAUCUUCCACAAUGGACGCAAAGUCUGAUGGAGCAACGCCGCGUGAGUGAAGAAGGGUUUCGGCUCGUAAAAGCUCUGUUGUUGGUGAAGAAGGACAGGGGUAGUAACUGACCUUUGUUUGACGGUAAUCAAUUAGAAAGUCACGGGCUAACUACGUGCCAGCAGCCCGGUAAAU